GUUUUGGUCCCUGCAGUUCUUGUGCUUGAGAUUGAGCAUGUUUUGAAGCCUGGUGGAAUUGGGGCUAUGUUUGUGGGUUUUAGUGUUUGAACUUAAAUAGCUUGAUUAGGUUCGUUACAAUUGUGUCGUCAUUAGUAAAAGCCUUCAGUAUGAUACAUGUUGGUUAAGUUCAUGAGUAUACAUCGGUGGUUUUCUAGAAAAUAUUUGAAAAAGUUGGUUAUUGAGCAAUUCCAAUUACAUCCAGAGGCCCUUGUGGGGGAGAGGGAAAUGGGAUUUGAGAAAAAGAU
rnacentral:misc_RNA from 1 species